AAGUCGUAACAAGGUCUUCGUAGGUGAACCUGCGGAGGGAUCAUUGAUGAAUUUAAACAUGGACUGCUUUGCUUCGGCCUAGCUGCUCCUAUUCAUCCCACACACACUGUGCACCUUUUUUUUUCUUCUGGUGGUGAGGCUUGAGGAAACGUUGGUGUUUGACGACACUGAUGGAAUACUCUGUGCUGACGCCGGAAUGAAACCCUAGUGAAUGUAAACAGUCCAAUGGUUAUUACACAUUCCUACUAAGGAACAUGUCUUAACAACUAUUAACGGUGGACCUCUUGGCUCUCGUAUCGAUGAAGAACGCAGCGAAACGCGAAAUGUAAUGUGAAUUGCAGAAUUCAGUGAAUCAUCGAAUCUUUGAACGCAUCUUGCGCUCUCGGGUUAUUCCUGAGAGCAUGCUUGUUGGAGUGUCGCGAAACUCUCAACCCCGCCUUGAUUCAUUUCGAGGUUGCUAUUGGGUUUGGAUCAUGACCUUUGCCGACCGACGUGAAAGCGUCGAUGGGCUGGGUUGAAAUACAUCAAGCUGAUACCUAUAUCAUGCGGCUUGACCUGUCGUUGUAAGCAUCCAACUACCGAUGGGAACGCAUGACCGGCAGAGCUUUACCAAAUGGAUGAACCAUUGACACCUUUGAAGCUUGAAAGGGCAUUUGCCUGACUAACGGUCUUCGCACAAAGGGCUCAGUGCAUUCUGACCUCCAAUCAAGUAGGACUACCCGCUGAACUUAA
rnacentral:rRNA from 1 species